ACACGAGUCACCUGGGGACCCUGUUAGAAUGCAGAUUCUGACCCAGGAGGUUUGGGGUGGGCGUGAGAUUCUGCAUUUCUAACAAGCUCCCCAGGGGACGCCCAU
rnacentral:pre_miRNA from 1 species